AUACAGGUCCUUCUCAAAAAAUUAGCAUAUUGUGAUAAAGUUCAUUCUUUUCCAUAAUGUAAUGAUAAAAAUUAAACUUUCAUAUAUUUUAGAUUCAUUGCACACCAACUGAAAUAUUUCAGGUCUUUUAUUGUUUUAAUACUGAUGAUUUUGGCAUACAGCUCAUGAAAACCCAAAAUUCCUAUCUCAAAAAAUUGGCAUAUUUCAUCCGACCAAUAAAAGAAAAGUGUUUUUAAUACAAAAAAAGUCAACCUUCAAAUAAUUAUGUUCAGUUAUGCACUCAAUACUUGGUCGGGAAUCCUUUUGCAGAAAUGACUGCUUCAAUGCGGCGUGGCAUGGAGGCAAUCAGCCUGUGGCACUGCUGAGGUCUUAUGGAGGCCCAGGAUGCUUCGAUAGCGGCCUUAAGCUCAUCCAGAGUGUUGGGUCUUGCGUCUCUCAACUUUCUCUUCACAAUAUCCCACAGAUUCUCUAUGGGGUUCAGGUCAGGAGAGUUGGCAGGCCAAUUGAGCACAGUAAUACCAUGGUCAGUAAACCAUUUACCAGUGGUUUUGGCACUGUGAGCAGGUGCCAGGUCGUGCUGAAAAAUGAAAUCUUCAUCUCCAUAAAGCUUUUCAGCAGAUGGAAGCAUGAAGUGCUCCAAAAUCUCCUGGUAGCUAGCUGCAUUGACCCUGCCCUUGAUAAAACACAGUGGACCAACACCAGCAGCUGACAUGGCACCCCAGACCAUCACUGACUGUGGGUACUUGACACUGGACUUCAGGCAUUUUGGCAUUUCCUUCUCCCCAGUCUUCCUCCAGACUCUGGCACCUUGAUUUCCGAAUGACAUGCAAAAUUUG